rnacentral:rRNA from 1 species
UUUGUACUGCGGCGCUAGAGGUGAAAUUCUUGGACCGUCGCAAGACAAACUAUAGCGAAAGCAUUUGCCAAGAAUGUUUUCAUUGAUCAAGAACGAAAGUUAGAGGUUCGAAAGCGAUCAGAUACCGCUUUAGUUCUGACUAUAAACGAUGCCAACUAGCAAUCCGUCGUUGUUAUUUUUUCGACUCGACGGGCAGCUCCGGAAAACCUAAGUAUGGUUUCGGGGGAAGUAUGGUUGCAAGGCUGAAACUUAAAGGAAUUGACGGAAGGGAACCACAAGACGUGGGGCCUGCGGUUCAAUUAGACUCAACACUGGAAAAACUUACCAGGUCAGGACACCGAAAGGAUUGACAGAUUGAGAGCUCUUUCUUGAUAUGGUGGAUGGUGGUGCAUGGCCGCUCUUAGUUGGUGGAUUGGUCUGUCUGCUUAAUUGCGAUAACGGACGUGACUCUGGCCUAUUAAAUAGAAACAAUAUUGUAAGCCCAUGGUUGUUGUAAGGCUUCUUAAAGGGAUUAAUUGCGUUUAGCAAUA